GCUAUAAGAUUGAGCUGUGAUGGGGAAGCACUUUCGAGUGCGAAGUACCUGAUGUCACACUGCCAAGAAAAUCUUCUAGCGUUUAAUUAUAACCUACCCGUACCGCAAACCGACACAGGUAGUCGAGGCGAGUAGCCUCAGGUGAGCGAGAGAACUCUCGUUAAGGAACUCGGCAAAAUGACCCCGUAACUUCGGGAGAAGGGGUGCUCUACAUUUGUAGAGCCGCAGUGAAUAGGCCCAAGCGACUGUUUAUCAAAAACACAGCUCUCUGCUAAAUCGUAAGAUGAUGUAUAGGGGGUGACGCCUGCCCGGUGCUGGAAGGUUAAGAGGAGUGCUUAGCGUAAGCGAAGGUAUGAAUUGAAGCCCCAGUAAACGGCGGCCGUAACGAUAACGGUCCUAAGGUAGCGAAAUUCCUUGUCGGGUAAGUUCCGACCCGCACGAAAGGCGUAACGAUUUGGGCACUGUCUCAACGAGAGACUCGGUGAAAUUUUAGUACCUGUGAAGAUGCAGGUUACCCGCGACAGGACGGAAAGACCCCAUGGAGCUUUACUGCAAGUUGAUAUUGAGUAUCUGUUGCACAUGUACAGGAUAGGUAGGAGCCGAUGAACUGAGGACGCUAGUUUUCAGUGAGGCGAUGUUGGGAUACUACCCUUGUGUCAUGGCUACUCUAACCCGCAUGCCUAAUCGGCAUGGGAGACAGUGUCUGCUGGGCAGUUUGACUGGGGCGGUCGCCUCCUAAAGAGUAACGGAGGCGCUCAAAGUUUCCCUCAGCAUGGUUGGAAAUCAUGCGUAGAGUGUAAAGGUAUAGGGGAGAUUGACUGCGAGACUUACAAGUCGAGCAGGUACGAAAGUAGGACUUAGUGAUCCGGUGGUACCGCAUGGAAGGGCCAUCGCUCAACGGAUAAAAGCCACCCUGGGGAUAACAGGCUUAUCUCCCCCAAGAGUUCACAUCGACGGGGAGGUUCGGCACCUCGAUGUCGGCUCGACGCAUCCUGGGGCUGUAGUCGGUCCCAAGGGUUGGGCUGUUCGCCCAUUAAAGCGGCACGCGAGCUGGGUUCAGAACGUCGUGAGACAGUUCGGUCCCUAUCCGUCGCGGGCGUAGGAAAUUUGAGAGGAUCUGCCCUUAGUACGAGAGGACCGGGGUGGACUUACCGCUGGUGUACCAGUUGUUUUGCCAAAGGCAUCGCUGGGUAGCUAUGUAGGGAACGGAUAAACGCUGAAAGCAUCUAAGUGUGAAACCAACCUCAAGAUGAGAUUUCCCAUUCUUUAUGAAUUAAGAGCCCUGAGAGAUGAUCAGGUAGAUAGGCUAGAAGUGGAAGGACAGUGAUGUUUGGAGCGGACUAGUACUAAUAGCUCGAGGACUUUACCG
rnacentral:rRNA from 1 species